UACGGAGGGGGCAAGCGUUGUCCGGACUUACUGGGCGUAAAGGGUGCGUAGGCGGGUUCUUAAGUCAGAGGUGAAAUCCUGGAGCUCAACUCCAGAACUGCCUUUGAUACUGAGAGUCUUGAGUUCGGGAGAGGUGAGUGGAACUGCGAGUGUAGAGGUGAAAUUCGUAGAUAUUCGCAAGAACACCAGUGGCGAAGGCGGCUCACUGGCCCGAUACUGACGCUGAGGCACGAAAGCGUGGGGAGCAAACAGG
rnacentral:rRNA from 1 species